AAAAAACAAGUUGCCAAUAGAUUUUAAAGCAAGAUAGUAAGAUUUUAAGUACUGAAGUGAACUGGAAUGAUAAAUAAUGUUGUAAUGACUGGGUGAACAUUAUAUUCUCAGCCAGAGAGAGAGAGAGAGAGAGAGAGAGAGAGAGAUGAAGGAAAGUGAGAUCAAGUUCCCAAUAGACACAGCAUAGUGGAACAAGAUUUAAAGAAGAGAAUAGGAGUAAAACAAUAUCAGGAUGACAGAUAGAAAAGGAGAGGAAGAAGAGAGGGAAGGGUUAAGUUAGGUUGAGUUGCUAAUGGACACAAGAACGAAAUAUGAAUAAAUAAAGUGAUGGUUUAUUUCUGGGCUGAUAACAAUAUACUUCUCCACACUUCCUCCCUUCAUAAAUGCCAUACUGGAUAACUAGAGACACCUACAAUGGUUUGAGCACACCACUUUUAGUUACUAAGGACUAGGAUAUAGCACACAAACCAUUAUCAUCACCACCACCACCACCAUCGUCGUCGCCAUAUAAAAGUAUUAAAAGUACAGCAUUUUAAUCCUAAUGGUGUGCAAAAAAACACGCACUGAGAAUCGUGAAUGACUUGCUGAGACGUUUGGUAUUGUAAACACAAUUGACUUUGGAAUGCUGGCAGAUAAUAAAUAAUAGUAAUAAUAACUUAAUGCUAUUUGCAUAUACCAAACUCUUCAAAGUUAAAAUAUUUUGUAUCUCUUCAUAUCGACAGUUUGAUUUAAGCCACACGCAGGCAUAUACGUAACACUGGAAUUGGCAGGCACGCUCAAUACAAUAAUACAUAUUUAUACAUACGUUUCUCAUAACCUUAUAUGCUACACAACCACACACAAGCACACGCAUAUUUCUGGUACAUGUUCUUUAAUCUUUGAGCUACACACAGGCAUACACAAUAACACUGGGAUUGUCAGGCAUACUCAUAACAUGUUUCUCAUAGAUUCAUACUACACACACUCAUACACACACACAAAUACACACAAUUCUAGUCCAUAUUUCCAUGUUUCAUUUUCUCAAUCCUAUUCUUAAAGUCUAUAAAGAAGUUUUUGUUGUUUUUCUUAUCUA